rnacentral:rRNA from 1 species
AGAAUCAACGCUGGCGGCGUGCCUAACACAUGCAAGUCGAACGGGAAAGUGGAGCAAUCCAUGAGUAUAGUGGCGACCGGGUGAGUAACACGUGACUAACCUACCCUUGAGUGGGGGAUAACCUCGGGAAACCGGGCUAAUACCGCAUAAAAUCUUCGGGAUGAGAAGCUGAAGAUCAAAGGAGCAAUUCGCUUUCGGAGGGGGUCGCGGCUGAUUAGCUAGUUGGCGGGUAACGGCCCACCAAGGCUUUGAUCGGUA